CCUAGGGAGGCAGAAGUGGGGAAGAGUGCACAAGGGGGGAAACCCGGAGGCAGCAACGGCGCGGGAAGGAAGACGGGUUUCGGAGUGUAAACGUCUGUUCUGAGGGAAGAAGAAUGACGGUAGCUAAGGAGCAAGCCACGGCUAACUACGUGCCAGCAGCCGCGGUAAUACGUAGGUGGCAAGCGUUGUCCGGAAUUACUGGGUGUAAAGGGAGCGCAGGCGGGAAGCCCAGUCAGCUGUGAAAACUACGGGCUUAACUUGUAGACUGCAGUUGAAACUGGUUUUCUUGAGUGAAGUAGCGGUUGGCGGACUUCCGAUUGUAGCGGUGAACUGCGUAGAUAUUCGGAGGAACACCUGUGGCGAAGGCGGCCCACUGGGCUUUAACUGACGCUGAGGCUCGCAAGUGUGGGGAGCAAACAGGAUUCGAUACCCCAGUAGUC
rnacentral:rRNA from 1 species